GUCAGCUAAAUCCUUACUGGAGAAUAUACCAAAUAAUCAAAUUAAUACAUCUAAGGGUUCUCUAUAAUCCGCAUCAUAUACAAGAUCGAUUAUGUGUAGGAUCACCAAAACACUAUCAAUUUAGGAGAUAUCUAUAAAACAUAUUGCAUCCAGGUCGGUUGAUGGCAGGAAUACCAAAGAGCUAGCAAUUAGAGGAACAUUUACAAGUCAACUCUUAUCCAAGG
rnacentral:lncRNA from 1 species